UCGUCAUCAUCAUCAUCUUCAGAGUCGGAAUCAGUUUGGGAAUGGGUGGUUGUAUGACUAAAAUCAUCGGAACUUCCAUCGUCGGAGGAGGAGGAGGAGAGCCUGGUGGUGGUGGGAGUAGGGUGGUGGUAGGCAAAGCCAUUAUUGUCAGAGUAAUAAGAAGUUGAAAAGGAGGUAGACAUAGAAGAAGAAGGAAGAGGAGUAAUAAUAGGAGGAGAGGUGGAGAUGGUAGAAUGAAGGGGGUGAGGAAAGAGAGGGGGAUUGGUGGAGGAUUUGAUCCUGGACAAGUGGGGAAUUGGUGGAGGAGGAGACCCAGCCAUGAAAUUCAUGAUAGAUAAGGGGUGUUGGUGUUGGACGAUACAAACCGACGACAUAUCUUUUUCCACUAGAAAAAAUGUAUAGUUAUUCACUACCACUAUUUAGUUGCUAGUACAUAGAUUGCUUUGCUUCUGGCUAGUGGUGGAGGUUUCGAGAAGGAUUGAUCCUGAGAUUCCGAUAUUUGACUACUAUACUAUAGAAAGACAGACAGAGAGAGGAUGGAGUGAGGGAGGGAGAACGACCACCACGUCGGAGCCAAGCCAAGGAGCUCCUCCUCCCCCCAACACUCCAAAAUUACCUAGCUUCCCCUUCUCUCUCUCUCUCUCAAAGUAUA